UGGCUUUCAUAAUACACUCAUGGAAGGAUGGAAAGAAACUAGAGUUAAGAUACUGGCCUUUGGUAUCCAAAUGGUAGAUUAGCUCUUUUUAUUUUUAAUGGAAAAAGGGGUGAUUAUUAAACAAUAAAUCAUCCAUGUACUGAAAGCAGGUGUGAGGUAGAACUUUUCUUUCUGUUCAGACUUAAGUAUAUCUGAGAUGAAUUCCCACUGGUGUAAAUAAAGCUCUAAAUGCAGACUGUUCCCUUCAGGAAGGACCCUUCCUAUCCUAGGUUCCCCUGGCCUAGUCCUGUGUAAAUGGCGUAAACACCUAGUUUCUAGCUCAUCUGCCAAUUUAUUAACUCUCACUCAAUAUGCUCAGUUUAUAUUAACUUUUUGGUAGUGUAGAAAGAUAAAUCCAAAUGUGAUUUUUAGUUGCUGAUCUAAGACUAACCAAACCACAAUGAAGCAGACUCCAGGGGAUAAUGGAGAUAGCAACAAUGAAUGAAGCAGACCCCUGGAGAUGAUGGAGUUAGCAGUGGAUAUGUGAGCAAAUCAGGUCCACAUGGAGAUCCUGAGGUUUAAUUGUGACUAUGUGGAGGACCUGGGAGUUGAGUGCACUGAUGUAUAACAUUCUCUAAGUUGCUCUCUUUUGUUGAGUGCUGGGUUACAUCAGGCAUUCUAUGCACUGUAAGCACCACCCCUUGUACCUCACUUCCUUCUUUCAUUAGCUCCUCUGGGCCUGGGACAGUGUUGUUUCUACUUUCCUGUCGUCUGAAUGUACAUGAUUUUAUGCAGCUAUCCAAGUCUAGAACCUAGGAGUAAGAGAACAACACAUGCCACAUUUGUCUUUCUAAGGCUUAAUUUGCUCCAUAGGAUGCUCUCCAGUUGCAUUCACUUUCCAGCACAUGACAUGACCUGUUUUUCUUAGCAUUGAGAAAAUACCAGUGUGUAUAUAAACCAUACUUCCUUAUCCAGUCCUCUCUUAAUAGACACCUGGAUCGUUGUUUCCUUCUACCAUGUGAAUUCCAAAGAUCUAACUCGGGUCAGUAGGCUUGGCAGCAAGCACCCUUGCCCAUUGAGUCACCUUGCCAGCCCUGCAUCGGUUUUAAAGAAGGUUCAAUGUGUCUGUAAGAAGAAUGUAUGUUUCCUGUCUAUCAUUCUAUGCCUAUGUUAAAUCCGGUUGGUCUAUGCUAUAAUUGAGAUAUGCUUUGUUUGGAAGACCUGUCUAGAUUAUGACAGUGGGGCUCAUUCAGCAGUGAAUUCCCUGGUCCUGGACUGUAAUUGUCAUUACAGUCAGGCUCACUUUGUAUUAUAUCUAUUUAAUCAUUUAUUCAGUUCAUUUAUGUCAUCUUGGCUUAACUUUGGUAGGUCAUACAGGUCUGUAGAAACUAGUCUUAGGUUUGCAAAUUUUAGUAGAAUACUAGCUUUAAACUAUGUCCUAAUGAUUCUGAAUCUUUUUGGUAUUUUGUAAUGUCUCUUUUUUUGCCUCUAACUUUUAUUAAUAUGAAUCAUCUUCUCUUUUGGUUAGUUUGACUAAAAGUUUGUUGGUUUAGUUGAUUUUUUUUAAUAACUACCUCUUUGUUUUAUUGGCACUUCGUCUUUCCUCCCUACUUACUACUCCCAGGGCUUUAAGAUGUAUCAUUACUUGAGAUCCCUCUUCUUAUGAACUUGCUUAUGAGCAAUCUUUGAUAAUUUUAUACACGCAUACAAUGUGUUUUUGUCAUAUCUAUCCCCCUUGAAUCCCUUCCACAGCUUCUCCACCAUGUAUCCCUUCCCACCUCAUGUUCCCUUGUCUGGUUUUCUUUUUCAUUUUUCUUUUUUAACUACUAAGUUCCAUUUAAUACUGCCUCUGUAUGCAUAGGUAUUGGGCCAUCCAUCCACUGGAGCACGGACAGUGUGCAGGGCCCACUCCCUUGGAGAGAACUGAUUCAUCUUCUACCAUCAGAUGUCAGCCAUUGGCUACUGCAGUGAGAGCCUCUGUGUUCCCGAGAGCAGCUGUCCUGUCACAUCCAGAAGACACUGCUGUGCAGCAGGUUGCCCUGACCGCUGGCUUUGCCCUGUUCCUACAGCUCUUCUGCAGGUUUCCCUCAGCCAUUGGGUGUGGUUCAGAUGUCCUGGUUACAGUCUGCCCUCUGUUCUCAUUCUUUCUUUCAUCUGUUGGGAGUCUUUGUAUUAACCACCGUCCAAAAAAUAAAACAAAACCCACAACUUUU